AGAGAGGGAGAGAGUGCUAAAGAAAGAGUCAGAGAACUGUCUAACCCUGCCCACUUUCCACUCAACCAUUCAACUCCGGCACGGGCAGCCGUGCACCGUCAGGUUUCUCCAGAGCGACCCGGAGCUCAUCGACCUGCAGGAGGAGCUCACCGACGGCGCUUCGUUCAACCCUCUUCAACUUUUAUCACCAUGACCGCUCCGCUCAGAUAAGGAUUAUUUUGGACUGGCUCCCGCUUUCCGCAUCGAUUUGAUAAGCAAGCCAGCACGGCAACUGUGAUCUUGGCAGCAGAACAGAACAGGACCGAGGUGUGAGUCUGCCGUCACUCAGGAUGUCCUCACUCACGCUCAUGACAGGGUUGCUGCUGCUCUCCGGCUGUUUGUCAGGGGGCUGCUCGCCCACGCCGGCCGAGAGCAGCUCUCAAGGCGCAGGGCGGCCGGAUGAUCCCGUGACCCCCUGCCCGUCCUGCGCUCUAGCCCAGAGGCAGAAGGACUCGGAGGAGCAGACCGACAUGGUGGAGGCGGUCAAGAGGCACAUCCUCAACAUGCUGCAUCUGAACGCCCGGCCCAACGUCACACACCCGGUGCCCCGAGCCGCCUUGCUCAACGCCAUCCGCAAGCUGCACGUGGGACGGGUGGGGGAGGAUGGCACGGUGGAGAUGGAGGAAGACGGAGGGGGGCUGGGGGAACACCGAGAGCAACCUGAGGAGCAGCCCUUUGAGAUCAUCACCUUCGCUGAGCCAGGAGAUGCCCCUGACAUCAUGAAAUUUGACAUUUCUAAGGAGGGCAGCACUCUGUCCGUGGUGGAGCAGGCCAACGUGUGGCUGUUUCUUAAAGUUGCCAAGGGCAGCCGAGGAAAGGGGAAGGUGUCUGUGCAGCUCCUGCAGCAUGGCAAAGCUGAUCCAGGCUCUGUGGAUGGACCCCAAGAAGCGGUGGUGUCUGAGAAGACUGUGGACACGCGGCGCAGCGGCUGGCACACGCUACCGGUGUCCCGCACGGUGCAGACCCUGCUGGACGGGGACAGCAGCUUGCUCAGUCUCCGCGUCUCCUGUCCCAUGUGUGCCGAAGCCGGCGCCGUGCCCAUCCUGGUGCCCGCAGAAGACAACAAGGGCAAAGAGAGAGAACAAUCUCACCGACCCUUCCUAAUGGCUGUGCUCAAGCCAGCCGAGGAGCACCAGCACAGGCGCAGCAAGCGUGGCUUGGAGUGCGACGGCAAAAUCCGCGUCUGCUGUAAACGGCAGUUCUACGUCAACUUUAAGGACAUCGGGUGGAGCGACUGGAUCAUCGCUCCAUCUGGGUAUCACGCUAACUACUGCGAGGGCGACUGCCCCAGCCAUGUAGCCAGCAUCACAGGCUCUGCCCUCUCCUUCCAUUCCACCGUCAUCAAUCACUAUCGGAUGCGCGGGUACAGCCCUUUUAACAACAUCAAGUCGUGCUGUGUACCCACCCGCCUACGGGCCAUGUCCAUGCUCUACUACAACGAGGAGCAGAAGAUCAUUAAGAAAGACAUCCAGAACAUGAUAGUGGAGGAGUGUGGCUGCUCAUAAGAUGCCAUGAACUCCUAACAAACACUUUAAUGUUGGUACAAAGCACAUAUCAGAGGAUUGGCACACAAACUUUUGAACUGCAAACUCGGGCAACCUAUUUGUUUCUAGAUCAUUCCAAUAGGACUGAUUAUUGGAGCGGUCUUCGUGGCACUUUCAUAUAAAAAUGACGGAGGAGAAUAAAGCAUAAUAUAUUUUUUUUAAUGAAGGGAGACUGAGGGAACGGGUGCAUGGGUCAAAGUGUCAGCCCUGAUUCUCUGCACUGCAAUAAAGAGACUUAUUUUGAAGUGUGGAAUUAUAUAUUCUGAGAAGAAGAAGAAAAAGACAUGCAACUCUAUGCAAGUAUUAUUACUGGAUGUUCUUUUUUUUUAUUAUUAUUAUUAUUUGUCUUUUAGCUUAUGUUUAAUGUUGUUUUAUUGUCAUACCUUUUCUCACAGACAACAUUUUUUAGUACAUCUUAAAAGAAGGAGUUGUGUUUAUUUCAUUUUUCUUAUGAGAAAUACUUGAAGAAAAAUUAGUUUGACCAGCUGCUGGAGCCAAACUACAUUAUUAUUAUUAAUAUGAUUAUUUUAUUAUAUUAUUAUUAUUAUUAUUAUUAUUAUUAUUAUAUUAUUAUCACCUAUUAUUAUUUUUCUCCUAAACAUUCUGAAUGUUGAUAAAAAGUAAUAUAAAUUUGCACUAAGCCAACAUUCGAACCAUGUGAGGCCCAGAGCAUUAUGGGUCGCAUUCUAGUUGCCAUAUCAGAGUCUAGAACCAUAUGCAUUUGGAACUUACAUAUAGUAAACCAAAGACCAUACACAUCCCAUUCUCAGAGCAAAUCCCCAAAAUGCCCGGCUCUGUGAAUUUAUUCAAAUUAGGAACAACUGUGUAUGGCCAACAUAACAUACCAUUAACUCAAUAUUUUGUUUGUUUGUUUGUUUGUUUUUUCCUGAAACAGCCUCAAUGUUAAGAUAUCUUUUGCUCUCUGUGUUUGACAGUGUUUGUCUCUACCAAUGUAUAACAAAGGUCUUAGAUUCUGAACUGAAACCUAACCUACUCAACAGAUAUAUUAAUUAAAGAGAUAGAAACAAUGUCCUGGCAAUGGCAAUCUGCUUUGUCAGGUUUAAAGUACAAGACACUAAAGGAACUUACUGUGUUGUUUUAUGUAGAGUUAUGCAACAUAUGGUUGUAUGUUGCUAUGUUGUACAAAUCAAAAUAUGUGCUAGUCAUGUUUUAUAUCUAAUUUAUUUUGCAGCAUAUUCUUUGCUUCACUAUUAAAGCUGAAUUGUACAACUUCACCUUUUCA